rnacentral:lncRNA from 10 species
GUUCUUAGAUGCAGUGCCUGCCUCAGAGUCUGUCUAGACUUUUUAGGAGAGAGUCAAAGAAGCAAUGCUGGCGAUGCGUGCUCAGACCCAGCACAGGAUGAGAUGAUCUGGGAACUGGAAUGUCAGGAAUGACUUCACUAAGAGAUCAGAGGUGGUCUGAGAGCGGGUGACCAGAACAAGCCUGCCAGGCACAGAGAACAGCAUGUGCAAAGGAGUAAGGGAGAGCCUAGUAGGUCUGGGACAUGCCAGCAGUUCACUAGGCCUGGAUAGAAAGUUUGAGCAUGGGGAGAGGCCAGAGAAGGGGCUGGAGAAGGGAUGGGCCCAGGUCACAGGGAGCAAAGUCCACUGGCCCAAGAAGCCAGGGCUUCAUAGGGUCAGCAGUAGGGAGCCUGCCAGGGCUUUAAAGAGAGGAAAGACAUGAGCAGCUUAGCAUUUUAGAAAGUUCAUUCGACUGAAAAUGUGCAGAAAGCACAAACUAAAGCACAGACACAAAACAAGUUCAGAGGAUGUGGCUGUCACCCAGGACACACACCACCUCAUCCAGCCACAGUGGCCACAGUCCUCAGUCAGACUGGACAGCCCCUGUGUACCUGGGAUGCGGAGAGUGACCCAAGCCUCAAUCCUGGCCAGUGAGACUGCCCAUCGAGGUGGAAAUCAUCGUCUUAAUUACCAAGGCUCCCUGGCCACCGGAGGAGACACGCAACACACAGCCUGCCUAAUGCGCCAGCAGCCGAGUUGGGGAGGUCCCUGGGAAAAAGGCCUAUGCUCCCCCAGCCAUUCUCAGGGCCUAGAAUGUUCUUUAGCACGAGAGAAGUGAAGGCUCAGGGGUCCAGUGGGGAGGGCCGGGUACCAGCCCAGAAGUAGGUCUAGCCAGGGAGGUGGAGUCCCCAAGAAACACCCUCAGGAGCCUGCUGAGUCACAAUCAUCCCUCACAGCACGAAUGUCUCGCCUGCUCCCUGCACGCAGCUCACCUGGGACUCUCCUUCUGCCGGCAGGGUGAGGGGCCUUUGAAAGGCCUAAACCAGAAAGGCUGGAGGGGCUGAAGGCAGGAGCCAGCUGGCCCCAAUCCUGUUCUCUCUGGAGCCCCUCAGUCCUUAGCCCAGCCCCCAGGUGUGUCUUGUCUCCUUCUUAGAGGCUCCAACGGCCAGAGCUCCCCACUCCCAACCUACCAUCUUGUCCCAGAGAUGGAAGACAACAUGGGAGCGGCCCCUCACAGCCAGAGUACCUUCAAGACCAUGUGGCACCACCAGACUGAAACCCAGAGAAAGGACUGUGCCUCUUCCUUUUGUGGCCCUGUGCUAGACACCGUGCUGGGUAUUUGCCAAAUGAGGCAUGAACGGUGCUCCUCCUUCUCGUGACGUGUAAGUCUUGGAGAACAGCCACAAUUCUGCGGAUGAUUAGGAAGUGCCUUCCUGUCACACUCACUGCUCCACACUGGAGAAGCUCAUCACUGCACACCCCGCCUCACAGGGCAGUCUGGAGAUUGCUGCUGUUGCGAUUCAUGGCCCUUGGGUUCCCCAGAAGCUCACUAGAGCCUGGACAUCCCAGAGGAAGGCCUCAAGCUCCAGACAGGGUCUGAAUUCCAGGAGACGAGGCAGAGAGAGCCCCUCAUUUCUCUCCUUUAGCCCCCAGUGACUCCGUCCCAUACUCACAGGGGAGCCCAGUUCUGCCCAAAAAGUCCCAUUUCAAUUCGAAUGAAUUCAACUCAAUCUCAACGAUACUAGCAUUGUGCAAGCCAGAGCUGGGGAGCUGGGCACACAGACACAUGAAAUAGGCUGUUAUCAAGGUACAGGGUAAGAAGUGUUCUUAGGGAAUUACAGUGACCCCUACCCCAGCAAACACCAAUUUCUCGUGCUUUCAUCUCCUAUGCCACUUUCUGUCCAUAGGGUUCAUUAUGGAAGAGACUAUGUACUGUUCACUAUCACAAGUUCAUUGUUCAUGGGGGUGAGUGUGCAUGUGUGUUUCUGUGUGUGUUUUCAUGUAUGCAUACGUGUGUGUGUGUGUGUGUAUGUGUGUGUGUGUUUAGGAUUUAAGUUCCUGGAGGGCAAAGAUCAUAUGGUGAGUUUCCCUGACUCUUCCACAGAUCUUACACAAGGCUAGGCAUAAAGCUGCUCUUCAAUAAACACAUCAAUUAAUGAACGAAUGAACACUGAACCCUAAACUCCCCCGUUCAGGCUGAGAUCUGGGAAGAGGGUGAGCCUGGGCGUCAGGGGUGGUGCAUUUGAAAUGUGGUGGGUCCUAGGGGACAUGAGAAGGUCUUGCUCUCUCUCUCUCUGGUCCUCAGUGUCAAUCACUGUGCAGCAAAGGAGUCGAAUUAGAUGAUCUCUAGGGUUCGCUCAGGCUCUGGAAACACUCUGUCUCCCUCCCGAAACUUGGUCUGUUCCCAAUUGCCCUCCCUACUCAGCCCCUCCAGAUGCAGUGCUCAUGAGACUCACAAAGGCCCCCAAUCUAGCUGGGGGAGGACCUUUUGUUCCCCUGCCUCAUGGGGCUCAGGGCUAUUUUGUCAAAAUUCUCCAGGAAAAGAGAAAAAGAGCCGAGGCUUUCGUUAAAGCCCAGUGGGCAGGUCUCUCUGAGGACAGGGAUUAAGUUUGUCUCUGUUGAUCUCCCCUCCAGUCAACGCUGCUGUCUGGGAACCAGCUUCGGAUUUUCUAGGGUUUAUCCUCCCUCAUAUGUUUCCAUUACCUUUGCAUUACCCUUGCACCAUUUUUAGCAUUCCCUUUGGAGUACCUUUGCAAAGUAGAAUAGAUCUCAAAAGAACAAAGCAAAUUUUGGUCCAGGCUCGUUCUAAAUGAAUUCCUUCUUCCUUCAACAAUCCCAUCUUAGGAAAGAAUAGAGACCCUCCUGACUCCCAGGCCUGGGCAUUUCUGCCAGACCCUCCCACCAGACCUAAAAGACCAUCGCUACUGGAGAGGAAGGGGGGACAGUCUUGAAGGGCCCCAGCUUCCCUUCAUCACAGCCCAGGACAAUUUCAGGCUCUGAUGGAGCUGAUGGUGAUGGGUUUGUGGAUUGACCUUUUAGAGGAUUAUCUGGAUUUGGAAGGGUCACUUAAGGGUCAGUAAGUCUGGGAGGACCAAGCCUAAUUCCAAAGACAAGAGGUGGGCAGAAGGGUCUCUGUCUCCCAGUGACCCUUUCUUUCUUGGAACUGUUUGUCUACCCAGGGAAAGAGGUCUAUGCCUCAGAAGGUUCUUACUCCGCACCUCAAGCAAUCUGCUUUGGGCUAUGAGUUUUCAUUUCUACUGGGAAUAUGAGGUUUUUGUAGACAGUAGAUGAUGCUUUUGAGUAAUCUGUGUGGUUUUUAAAAUGCAGGUUAAAAUCCUAAUGUUCUGAAAUGGGAGAAACACUGAUAAGUUAAAAAUAACUCUUUGGAGGCCGGGCGCAGUGGCUCACACCUGUAAUCCCAGCACUUCGGGACGCCAGGGCGGGCAGAUCACGAGGUCAGGAGAUCGAGAACAUCC